ensembl:piRNA 21ur-6893 ncRNA
UGUUAAAAAAAAUAGGAGAAC